CCAAUAAUUUUGCUCCACUCUAAAUAAUUUGUGUCAUCUAAUUUAUACUCAUUAAUCUUUGACCUAGUCAGGACUAUCUCACUCACCAAAAACUUAUUAUCAUUCAUUCUUAAUUCGAGAAUAUCCACAAAUUAUCACUCAAAAAUACUCAAAUAUAGCAGCUAGAGACACACCAAAAACACUGCAAAUAUAUCAAGAAAUUAGAGAAAAUAGAGCAUCUCUUCACGUACAAGUAUCAACAAUCCUAUCAGAACCUCAAUAUCAACCACUGGAGAACCUGCGCCGCUGCACACAUCGCCG
rnacentral:lncRNA from 1 species